UGCGGGGUAGAGCAGAGGCAGCUCGUCGGGCUCAUAACCCGGAGGUCAUAGGUUCGAAUCCUAUCCCCGCUACUA
rnacentral:tRNA from 1 species